rnacentral:rRNA from 1 species
AACGAACGCUGGCGGCAGGCUUAACACAUGCAAGUCGAACGCAUCGCAAGAUGAGUGGCAGACGGGUGAGUAACGCGUGGGAACGUACCCUUUACUACGGAAUAGCUCCGGGAAACUGGAAUUAAUACCGUAUGUGCCCUUCGGGGGAAAGAUUUAUCGGCAAAGGAUCGGCCCGCGUUGGAUUAGCUAGUUGGUGGGGUAAUGGCCUACCAAGGCGACGAUCCAUAGCUGGUCUGAGAGGAUGAUCAGCCACAUUGGGACUGAGACACGGCCCAAACUCCUACGGGAGGCAGCAGUGGGGAAUAUUGGACAAUGGGCGCAAGCCUGAUCCAGCCAUGCCGCGUGAGUGAUGAAGGCCUUAGGGUUGUAAAGCUCUUUCACCGGAGAAGAUAAUGACGGUAUCCGGAGAAGAAGCCCCGGCUAACUUCGUGCCAGCCGCCGCCGUAAAAC